rnacentral:rRNA from 1 species
CCUACGGGAGGCAGCAGUGAGGAAUAUUGGUCAAUGGACGAGAGCCUGAACCAGCCAAGUAGCGUGAGGGAUGACGGCCCUAUGGGUUGUAAACCUCUUUUGCCAGGGAGCAAAGUGCCGCACGUGUGCGGUUUGGAGAGUACCCGGAGAAAAAGCAUCGGCUAACUCCGUGCCAGCAGCCGCGGUAAUACGGAGGAUGCGAGCGUUAUCCGGAUUUAUUGGGUUUAAAGGGUGCGCAGGCGGUUUGUUAAGUCAGCGGGAAAAGCCCGGGGCUCAACCACGGCCUGCCGUUGAAACUGGCAGUCUUGAGUUGGAUAGAAGUAUGCGGAAGUCGUGGUGUAGCGGUGAAAUGCAUAGAUAUCGCGCAGAACCCCGAUUGCGAAGGCAGCAUGCUGGCUCGACACUGACGCUGAGGCACGAAAGCGUGGGUAUCGAACAGGAUUAGAUACCCUAGUAGUC